AUCCAUCUGCCGAGUCCCAAAUAGGACGAAACGCACGUUCUGGAU
rnacentral:hammerhead_ribozyme from 1 species